rfam:Gasterosteus aculeatus cont1.014265, whole genome shotgun sequence.
UCCUCGUUAGUAUAGUGGACAGUAUCUCUGCUUGUCACGCAGAAGACCAGGGUUAGAUUCCCUGACGGGGAG